UACGAAAACAAACGAGCCCUAAAGCUAUCUCAUGGGACGACAUCAUUCUAGAGCCAAAACAAGAAAUAACUGAAGAAAUCUCCAACAAGGCUUUGAUUGGUAAGUUGGUUUCCUCCAAACCCCUGAACAAAUACACUUUUCACUCCACGAUUUGAGUUGUUUGGAGUUUCGUAAAUGGUCUCACAAUAGAGGACCUGGCAACAAACCUUUUCCUAUUUACCUUUCCCUCUCUAGUUGAUAAACACAGAGUUUACACUCAAAGACCAUGGAAUUUUAAGGGGUUCCACAUGGUAUUGAAAGAAUGGCCACUGGGUCUUAAUAUUCAAGAAAUAGAUCUAUCUCUCUCGGCCUUUUGGAUCCAUAUUUAUGGGUUAACUUUAGAAAUGAUGACGAAAGGCAAUGUUGAAAAAAUCGGGAAAGCCCUGGGGAAUUUACUAGAAAUAGACCAAAACUUCCUUCCAAAAAAUGGGAUUAAACAAUGCCUUCGGAUCAGAGUUGAAAUAGACACGGAGAAGCCACUCUAUGAAGGUUUUAUACUGCCCCAUACCAAUAAACAACCCGCAAAAAUCAGUUUCAAAUAUGAAAGGUUAUUUGAAUUUUGUUAUGGAUGUGGGAAACUUGGGCACCUACAACAAGGUUGUCAUAUUUACAUUGGUUCCUCUGAAGAGCCAUCAUUUGGGCCCUGGAUGAGAGUGGAAUCUCAAGAUCCUAGAAGACAACCACGGCUUGAAGAAAUACAAAGAGAUAUGCAGUUUUCAAACCUUCAGGCUCUACCGUUGCUAGAUCAAAUGAGUCGCAAAUCAAUAUCACUCCCACCAGUUCGCAUCAAAGAGCCUUCUAUUCCCCUUUCACAUGGAGGUUCGAUAAUCACUGGGUUAGGAAAAAAAAAGAAAUCUUGUUGAACACUUAGGGAAAGGCAAAGUUGUCAUCAUUAAUACGGAAGCUGGGCAACAAAAAGAAUUUUGUCUAACGAAUCUCUUCUCGGCAAAGCCAAGUUGCAGUAGUGAAAGCUCUAAGGGAGACACUGUUCACAUGCAAGUCAAGAAGGAAGAACCAAUCCCAGACUCCAAGUGGCGACAAUCCAUGUAUUCAGACAAACAAGUUAGAAUAAUUUAAGGUGAGCAGCAAUUCAUUCAAUGCCAAGCAAAUGCUAUCUGUCCCCCCGACAAUGCUGCCAGCUGAGUUGCCCUCUCUCGACCACGUGCCCAAUAUGACGUUAGAGCAAUCCCCCUUGACUUAGAUAACCUCUACCAAUUCCCCACGUGCCUUGUUCCUAAUCCCAUGAAUUACACUUUCCCGAGACCUUUUAAUGAGCCCAUUGAGUCCCUAUCUGCUGAGCCCAAGACCAAACCAUAUUUCAUUAAACGACUCUUAUCCCAUCUCAAAGACCUUCAAAAUCCAUCAGACUUCCAAAAUCUGACCCAUAAUGUUUCGCUCCUUGUUAGUCCUUCGGGUAAGACAUGCUUUGCCUUUAAUACUAUACAGCUAAGCCCAACCCAUAUUAUUUCCCCAAAUCAGCAGAUAAAUCUUUCCAAAAUUGAUCUUCCUCCAUCUCUAACUCAAGCAUUUCCCGAAGUACAAAUGGCCCCUUCUAAGCUUCUUGAUACCAACCCCUUUCAACUAGAGCUGUUUCGUCCAACCAUUUCUCAAUAUGAGACUAUAAAGAAGAGAAAUAGCCUAUCAACAGAGAAGAGUCUCCCCCCAAAAAACAAUGCCUGUUGAGUACCAACUUGGGAGAUCCAUCGAUCCCAAUCCUUAAUCCAGAAGAUGAAGCAGCCCAAUAGCAAGAUGCGGAUGCACCUGUCCCAAACAACACCAAUCGAAAAUCCAGGACAGGAAGGAACCAAGGAAAGCACAAGAAGAGGAACCCAUCAGCUGUUCGAUAUGCACCUUACCAAAUCCAUAAUCUGAAAGCUAUGGUCAAAGCACAAGGAAAAAAUAUUGCAUCCCUGUGUUGGAAUGAAUCUGGUGAAACCAUAUUUGCACUCACAGAUCACAUCCCCAAUGUGAGUUCAAAUCUCGGUGAAACAAUGGCAUCUUUGAUGGCAAUAUCAAAAGCCAAACGAUUGGGGCUGAAGAAAAUUAUUUUGGAAGGCGACUCCAGCACCACAAUAACAGCAAUUAAUAACUCUGCAGAUGAAGAUGACUGGAUCACAAGCCCUAUCAUUAAGGAUAUAAAGCAUCAUCUCCUAUCUUUCGAAGUUUGGAAAGUCAGGAAAAUUCAUCGGUCUAAAAAUCGAUGUGCGCAUGAUUUGGCGCAAUGGGCAGCGGCAACACAAGCCUAUAAAACAUCAACUGCAACGCCAACACAACAGCUCCAUUUUGCACAGCCUGACUCCAUAUCACCCAGCCAAGAAAAAAAAAA